CGACCGGCGCACGGGUGAGUAACGCGUAUCCAACCUGCCUUACACUCUUGGACAGCCUUCUGAAAGGGAGAUUAAUACAAGAUGUUAUCAUGAGUAAGCAUUUUCACAUGAUUAAAGGUUUACCGGUGUAAGAUGGGGAUGCGUUCCAUUAGAUAGUAGGCGGGGUAACGGCCCACCUAGUCUUCGAUGGAUAGGGGUUCCGAGAGGAAGGUCCCCCACAUUGGAACUGAGACACGGUCCAA
rnacentral:rRNA from 1 species